AUCAGACUGGGUUUAUUUGUAGCAAAACAAGGAAAAUGUUCGAAGUUUAGUAAAAGAAAACUUUUUGAAUAAACUUUUAGUAGCUUUAGGAUUAAUAGUUGGUUUUUUCAAGAUUUGUGUGCUUAACUCUAUGAUUUUGAAAACUUGAGGGAUUUGAUGGCAGUAAAGUGUAGAAAAGGGGGCAAAUUCUUAUGUCGAAUACAACGUAAUGUUUGAUAAGCAUCCUGAGUAUUUUUCAGUGUUAUGCACCAACGUGAGUUAGGAAAAGAAAAGUAAACUAUGCAGAUUGUGCUCUGUCUACCAUCACUUAUGUUGAGAAUGAACUAAGAAAUCUCAUGAGAUGAGUCUUAAACCAAAUGCUGUCACAAUCCAAAAAAUCCCACUAGUUGAAGAAGAGAAUCCCACUAGUGGAGUGAUCCAUGUAAAAUUUCAAGUUUUGUCAGCUGAGAUCCUACAAGAAGUUCACCAUCGAGCUAAAUAUAAGUUCCAGAAGUGGAAAGAAGAAAUUGAAUGGAAAGAGUACUGUGAGGAAGAACUAACGUUAUUGAAUAACAAAGUAUUUUAUACAAGCCCAUUCACAUUAGCAUCUAGUGAAACAGCUCACUCUGGUGACAAGUCAAGUAGGCAAGCUACGAAAAGAAAUAAUGUUAACUUUCCUGUGAAAAUUAAGGAAGGAAGACAGCACAAUGGUUUUAAAAAAACUCCUGUUCCUGUAGCUAAAAGUGGUAUUUCUAAGAAAGGGUUUUCUAGAACUGAUCAGUCAAGAACAGUACCAUACCUGCACCAAGAAGUCCAGAAUCAUAAAGAACAUCAUGAUAAGGUCCUACAAACUAUCUGUCACCAAAUUCAAGAAGUCCAGAAAGAUCUGAAAUUGAUAAGCAAAGAGAUCUCUGAAUCUAGAGUUUCUCGAGCAACUCAAAAUACGGUUAUUUCAAAAGAUCUAGUAAAGAAAGAUAAAGUCUUAGAAUGGUGUAAAAUGGAGGAGGAAUGUACACAAGCAGGUGAUGGAAAUCAGCGUGCUGUCCUGAAAAGAGCAGUAGCCCAUCUGGUGGCAAAAAAAGCUAAAAAAUCACCUAAGUCUGUUGGAUUUCUAUUGCCAAAACAUCUGAAGGAUAGGCGUCAGCUUAGUCACCGUAGCAAUCUACAACAUUCGUUAGAACAAAACCUGAGAAGCAAGAAGAAGAAGAAUUAUUUCCACGAGACAAGUGAAAAUGGAAAAACAUCUUGGGAAUCUCUCAGACUCAUUAGAGAUAAAGCAGUAAAUACGUCCCCUACUGGUGAACGAAUCACAAAAAAUGUGCAAGAAUGGGAAAAGGAAGAUGUUAUUGAAAACUUUUUCACAGGCUCUGGAUUUCAGAAACAAAAUUCUGAGAAUAGAAACUGCCAAAGGCUGAAAAAUCCAGUACAACAUAACUGGCUGCACGAUUUACACAAAAUGUGGGCAAAACUGGAAUCUAAAGAGUUCCAGAUGGAAAACGAUAUCUGCCACAGAUGGGGAGAGGUCUGUCAUGGGGAUCUACCAACGCUACAGCAAGACCCCUUGGCUCAAACACCAGAGCCCAUUCUUAUUUCAAAGUCAUCACAGCCACCUGUUUCUACAUGCAAUAAUGAAACUAUCACUUUAGAGGCCAAGGAUGUUAAGCUGGAAAGACAGUUACCUGGUAUUGUGUUUACAAAACCCGAUACAAGGAACAAGACAAGAAUGUGUGUUUCCAGUUCGUUUGAUCAGCCACAUCAAAAAGGUUUACUCUACUUGUCUUCACAACAACUAGAAGCCAUCCACAGUUACAAAAAAGAAUAUGAACAUUAUCGUAGAAAGAAAUCCUUUUCACUUAAAGGGGUCCAUAAUUCUGUGAAACUAGUAGAAGAAACUGCAGAGACACUUUUGAAUGAGUUGAUGAACGAUGUGGUUGAAGAACUUGAGAACCUUCCAGAUACUUGUGUCUCCCAACUGUAUUUACAAGAAUUUGUCAGCAACAAAACAGGUGCACACUUAACGUAGUCGUUUCACCAUACAAUUAACUGCUGACAACUUAAGGAACGAAGAAUGCACAGUCCAGUUCUAGAACGAUCUAUAAGACUCUCACGUCGCGAUUGGUCUAGAGAAAUCUAUAGCCAGUGGUUGUCAACAUUUUAAGCAUAAAAUGUGACCCGAUUUCAAUGAAAAUGAUUCACUUAUGUAAAAGUACGUAUGACGUUUUGUGUAAAAUCUGUUCAUGGAUAUCAUUUUCCGAUUCAGCGUACAGGAAUUACUGUAGAAAAAUGUAAAAAUUUCAAAACAAUAAAACCAUCGUAGGUCUGUGUUAUUAUUUUGGUUUGGAAUAUUACUGUAAGAUGUUGACAUUCCCUAGUUUAAUGUUCCAUAAGUGAGUAUACUCUCAUUAAUGCUGAUAAGCCUUCAAUGGACGAAACUACAGUCCGCAACCAACCAAAAAAAAACAUUAGGCCUCUACGUCACAGAUUCUUCUUUAAAUUUUCCUUUGUUGAAAUUGAAAUAAUAUGUAACAUAUGUAUGCAAUCAUUAAAUGCUCGAUCCGAUAUGUAAUGUGAAAUAAUGAUUUAGGCACGAGCUCUAACAUUA